GAUUUUUUAAGUUAAUAAGACUAUUUGUUUUCAAAACAAAAUGUAACGUAAGUUAAAAAUUG
rnacentral:tRNA from 1 species